AUUGAACGCUGGCGGCAGGCCUAACACAUGCAAGUCGAGCGGAUGAGGGGAGCUUGCUCCUUGAUUCAGCGGCGGACGGGUGAGUAAUGCCUAGGAAUCUGCCUGGUAGUGGGGGACAACGUUUCGAAAGGAACGCUAAUACCGCAUACGUCCUACGGGAGAAAGCAGGGGACCUUCGGGCCUUGCGCUAUCAGAUGAGCCUAGGUCGGAUUAGCUAGUAGGUGGGGUAAUGGCCCACCUAGGCGACGAUCCGUAACUGGUCUGAGAGGAUGAUCAGUCACACUGGAACUGAGACACGGUCCAGACUCCUACGGGAGGCAGCAGUGGGGAAUAUUGGACAAUGGGCGAAAGCCUGAUCCAGCCAUGCCGCGUGUGUGAAGAAGGUCUUCGGAUUGUAAAGCACUUUAAGUUGGGAGGAAGGGCAGUUAGUUAAUACCUGACUGUUUUGACGUUACCAACAGAAUAAGCACCGGCUAACUUCGUGCCAGCCGCCGCAGUAACAC
rnacentral:rRNA from 1 species